GGCCUGCGGACGUCUGAGUGUCGCGGUGGCCCCAGGAACCUUGGACGUCAGCCCCUCCCAGCCAGCACUGCUAACGCAGAGGGCUCUCACCUCGCGUGAUCACUUGUCUUCUGCAAAUGCCGGCGGUCACAGUGGCACAGAGAGCAGAUCCUGCCAUCCGAUGCCACCAGAUGUGUGCCACGAAUGAGGGAGGGACAUCGCUCCGCGCUUCAGAAUGCGUCCACCUGCGUCUCUGCCCGUC
rnacentral:lncRNA from 1 species